CAGUCGCCGCGGGAAUACGUAGGGGGCGAGCGUUGUCCGGAAUUAUUGGGCGUAAAGCGCGUGUAGGCGGCUCAGCAAGUCCGCUCUGAAAGCCCAGGGCUCAACCCUGGAUGCGGGUGGAUACUGCUGAGCUCGAGUCCGGAAGAGGCGAGUGGAAUUACUGGUGUAGCGGUGAAAUGCGCAGAUAUCAGGAGGAACACCAAUGGCGAAGGCAGCACGCUGGGACGUGACUGACGCUGAGACGCGAAAGCGUGGGGAGCAAACAGGAUUAGAUACCCCCGUAGUCCCUGUCUCUAUACAC
rnacentral:rRNA from 1 species